rnacentral:lncRNA from 1 species
UAGGAGUCUUUCAGAAGUCCAAUGAAAAUGUCAAGGCUCCUGGAAAAUUCCUCAUGCCCAGUGACUUUCUACUUACUCAGCUAAAACUCAGGAUUUUGUUGAAGAAAGGGAAAAUCGUAUUGUCAGACUCAAAAAUGUUGCCGUCUUAAUUCCACAUUUAAUGUGGUUUUGAUGUAAGACUUUGGUGGCUCUCCAUUAUACACAGAAUACAGCUCAAGAACCUUAGCAGGACACAGGAGACUUUCCUGAUGUGGCUACAGUGAGUGUGAUUGAACCCCAGUGUUCCAGGGCCAGUCUCUCCAUUCCUCACCUUCCUGAUUUUGUCAGAACGAAUAGCUCCCUGGUGGGCAAGGAAGAGGAGAGUACGACUGAAGAAUGAGUGUUGGUGGUCCAAAGAAGACAGGGUGUCAGACCUGGAUCAUAGCCUGAAAUCUCACCCCAACAGCUCUUGCUCCCUCUCACUUUAUUCUUCACAGAUUUUUUCCCCAAUGUAUCUUUUGUGGUGUAAUUCCAUUUUGGU